rnacentral:rRNA from 1 species
UACGUAGGGUGCAAGCGUUAAUCGGAAUUACUGGGCGUAAAGCGUGCGCAGGCGGUUUUGUAAGUCUGUCGUGAAAUCCCCGGGCUCAACCUGGGAAUUGCGAUGGAGACUGCAAGGCUAGAAUCUGGCAGAGGGGGGUAGAAUUCCACGUGUAGCAGUGAAAUGCGUAGAGAUGUGGAGGAACACCGAUGGCGAAGGCAGCCCCCUAGGUCAAGAUUGACGCUCAUGCACGAAAGCGUGGGGAGCAAACAGG